AUUCAGGGGAGCUUAUUGCUGAGAGGAAGUUCAUCUAACUUCGACCCUUAUACCUGAUGCGGAUAAUGCCGUCGUAGGAAGAUGUUAUAU
rnacentral:ncRNA from 1 species